CCGCCCACACCACAAGCCGCAGUUCCGGCAGACGUGCGCAGACCUUACCGGCCGGCCCACCCCAGGCGUGGGCGCUGAGCCACCAGGACCUCGGGAGGGGAGUUGCAAGGUGCUUCCCACGCUUGCCCUUGGGGCGCCCUGCACAGGCCCCUCCGAGCCCAAGAGACCGGGGAGUACCCAGAGCGAGAUCACCUCCUUCCUCCGACAACAGCCGGAUACCCCGUGUCCCCCACAGACAGACAGUCUGAGUGCGGCCUCUCGGAGGGCGCAUGGGACCUGUGGUGUCACCGCUGAGCCGGAGCCGAGGUCACCCCUCCCUGGACAGACUGGA